rnacentral:rRNA from 1 species
GAUGAACGCUGGCGGCGUGCCUAAUACAUGCAAGUCGAGCGAACGGACGAGAAGCUUGCUUCUCUGAUGUUAGCGGCGGACGGGUGAGUAACACGUGGAUAACCUACCUAUAAGACUGGGAUAACUUCGGGAAACCGGAGCUAAUACCGGAUAAUAUUUUGAACCGCAUGGUUCAAAAGUGAAAGACGGUCUUGCUGUCACUUAUAGAUGGAUCCGCGCUGCAUUAGCUAGUUGGUAAGGUAACGGCUUACCAAGGCAACGAUGCAUAGCCGACCUGAGAGGGUGAUCGGCCACACUGGAACUGAGACACGGUCCAGACUCCUACGGGAGGCAGCAGUAGGGAAUCUUCCGCAAUGGGCGAAAGCCUGACGGAGCAACGCCGCGUGAGUGAUGAAGGUCUUCGGAUCGUAAAACUCUGUUAUUAGGGAAGAACAUAUGUGUAAGUAACUGUGCACAUCUUGACGGUACCUAAUCAGAAAGCCACGGCUAACUACGUGCCAGCAGCCGCGGUAAUACGUAGGUGGCAAGCGUUAUCCGGAAUUAUUGGGCGUAAAGCGCGCGUAGGCGGUUUUUUAAGUCUGAUGUGAAAGCCCACGGCUCAACCGUGGAGGGUCAUUGGAAACUGGAAAACUUGAGUGCAGAAGAGGAAAGUGGAAUUCCAUGUGUAGCGGUGAAAUGCGCAGAGAUAUGGAGGAACACCAGUGGCGAAGGCGACUUUCUGGUCUGUAACUGACGCUGAUGUGCGAAAGCGUGGGGAUCAAACAGGAUUAGAUACCCUGGUAGUCCACGCCGUAAACGAUGAGUGCUAAGUGUUAGGGGGUUUCCGCCCCUUAGUGCUGCAGCUAACGCAUUAAGCACUCCGCCUGGGGAGUACGACCGCAAGGUUGAAACUCAAAGGAAUUGACGGGGACCCGCACAAGCGGUGGAGCAUGUGGUUUAAUUCGAAGCAACGCGAAGAACCUUACCAAAAUCUUGACAUCCUUUGACAACUCUAGAGAUAGAGCUUUCCCCUUCGGGGGACAAAGUGACAGGUGGUGCAUGGUUGUCGUCAGCUCGUGUCGUGAGAUGUUGGGUUAAGUCCCGCAACGAGCGCAACCCUUAAGCUUAGUUGCCAUCAUUAAGUUGGGCACUCUAAGUUGACUGCCGGUGACAAACCGGAGGAAGGUGGGGAUGACGUCAAAUCAUCAUGCCCCUUAUGAUUUGGGCUACACACGUGCUACAAUGGACAAUACAAAGGGCAGCGAAACCGCGAGGUCAAGCAAAUCCCAUAAAGUUGUUCUCAGUUCGGAUUGUAGUCUGCAACUCGACUACAUGAAGCUGGAAUCGCUAGUAAUCGUAGAUCAGCAUGCUACGGUGAAUACGUUCCCGGGUCU